rnacentral:rRNA from 1 species
AUGGCUGCGAAGGUGCUCCAGCUCCAUAGCUCCGACGGCAAGGUGCUCGUCGCUCCGGCGUGGGACUAUCGCCCGGCCGCCGCCCAAGCCCGCCCGCUGGAGAUGCGGGUGCCCUCGCGCGCCCUCGAGAGGGUGCUCCAGUACUGGACCAAGCACAGCCUUGCCAAGGCCACCGGUGAGUCCCGGGAGUCCCUCGCCCGCUGGGACGCCGACUUCCAGCGCCGUCUUGAGGAAGACGGCCUCGCCAAGGAGGCCGCCGCAGCCGCCCAAGAACUCCGCCGCUACGGCGUCGACCAUGGAGGGCGUCCCCAUCGCCACGCCCCCACGGCCGCAUCUGAUGUCGCUGCUCCUGCCAAGGCGGCCCGUGCUAACCCCGCCCGUGUCUGGUGUGUCAACCACGGAGAACGCAGCCAUGCGCCGGGGAUGCCCGGCUCCUUCGUUGCCUCUGAUAUUGCCUCCGCCACGAGCCCUGGGCCUGCCACCACCUUGCCGGCUGCUGCUGGUGCUGAUCCCGUGGAUGUCCGGUGCGCGAUCCGUGCCCAUGGACGCGAGAUGGCUGAAGACGAGGAGUCCGCUUGCCACCACCGCAAGCGCCCGGCUUCCAAGGCUCCAAUCUGCCUGCCCGCCACUGCUGCUGCGCCUGUGAAGAAGGUCUCUCGUCAGGUCGCUUCCAAGGCUUGCUCUUUCGUCGGCUCUACACCACUGCCUGCCACUGCUGCUGCGCCCAGUGUGCAACCGAAGCCGCAGAUCAGCAUGCGCGAACUGAUCGAGAACGCUCGCCUCACCAUGGCUCGCCUCGACAAGGCUCGCUCUGCCUCCGAAGAAGAGGCCAGCCGUCGGCGCGACAUCGAGCGCAGCCGAGCGGAGGCCCGACGAAAGGUGGAGCAGAUGGUGGACACCGUGCAGUUCAACGACCCCUGGAUCCAUUACUCCGACGUGACCAAGUCCCCUGAGGAGCUGCUCCAAGCACGACAGCAAGCAUGGCGUUAUCAAGCUCACCUCCUCGAGAUGGCUCGUCGACGGGACUUUGCUCAAGCGAUGCAAAUCCACGGGCUCAAGAACCCAUUCAGAUCCCUGUAUACAGUAUACUAUGGACGAACUAAAGAGUUUUAUGGCGUGCAAGGCGAUGAUUUAGUUGAUUCUUCAUACAUUUCUCCUAGAGUAAGAGAUUGUGCACAUGUAAUUGGCCAACUGCCGCUGCAGCCGCAGUCCAUGUCGUUGGUGGAUCUACAGCUCUGGAUCUUCAAGCUGUUCCGGCUCCAUCCGGAAACACAAGAUCUCUCCAUUAAGGGGUUCAUCAAACAACGCAAAACUGACUUGUUCGACGACUUCGAACCUGACUGGUAUAUGGAGUACUGCCCUUGGGACACAUGUUACUUUCAAACUGACAAGUACUGGAGUGCCUUUGCCAAUAAAUUAAAGCGGAAAAGGAAUGUGAUGCAAAAGUUCAUGCUGUAUGCAGAAUGCUCUGAGAUCAAGCAUUAUGCUAUUUUGCUCAAAGCCGUACAUGAUGAUUACUCUCAGUUGGCAAGGGUUGUGUUGCCUGGGACAAAAUGCCUGACAACUUCUAACUUCCGCUUCCUCCGCCUAGUGGAAGACCUGUCAAUGACACCUAAGGAAAUUAUAGCUUAUCUCGCUGAACACUAUGGCGAGCAGAUGAACCCCCUUGAGGCGUGGAGGGCCAGACAGAAGGCUCUGGAGCGCAGUUGUACUGCAAUGAUGAAUACCUUAAAUGCGAUAGUGGAGGUGACAUUUCUGCGCUUGGUAGAGCACUUCAAAAACACAAGUGCUGCAGCAAAUGAAGCAAUUGGCAACCCAUCAAUGAACUUCCCUGAACGGGUCCAGGAUGACAUGAAUUCAAAAAUGCAGAAAUCCAAGAUGCAUCGCGUGAUUAGCCUAGACACCAAAACAAGAAAUGUUUUCCAGGGGAAAGAGUUUCGGAAUUUUACAGUUCAGUCGAGGCAGAAGAAUGAGGUUGUUCACCUGAAAUCGGAAAGCAUAAGGGUGUCUGCUGUUUUAUUGCGAGCUUUUUUGGGAGAGUUCUUUCUCAGUGGGGACGAGAGCCCACAGCCUUCUCACAGCCCAGGUACAACCUCGUGGCGAGCGGCCCAUCACGAGAAAAUGGAGGGAAAAACUCCAGAAGCGAGGGAAAACCCUCUUCCCAUUCCCAUUGCCCAAAUGCGCGCACAUAAAGAGAUGGAAACCCACGCCGGCCUCGGCUCCGGCUCCGACGGCGGCAAGCCUGCUCCGACGAAGCCGGCGAUGGACGAACCACGCGCCGGCGCCGAUGCCGCUGAAGUCCCCUCCUUCGCCGGCCCCGACGCGCUCCCCGUCCCCCAGCUGGGUACAUUCGCCGGCGCGAGGAAGCGGAAGGCCCCGGCGACGGCGACGGCAAAGGCUGUCGGGAAGCCUCGCAAGACGCAGGUUGAGGAGCCGAUUCAGAUGCCUGUGUACUAUGGAUGUAGAGCACCGUUUUCCCGCGUGCGUGGCAACUAUUUAGAAGACAAAUGUGCUCACUUAAUUGGUGAGCUGCCGCUGCAGCCACAGUCCAUGUCAUUGGUGGAUCUACAGCUCUGGAUCUUCAGGCUGUUCCGGCUCCAUCCAGAAACACAAGAUCUCGAUAUCAAGGGGUUCCUCAAGCAACGCAAAACUGAUUUCUUUGACGAAGAGUCCUCCGAACCGGACUAA